CGGCACGGGGACCCAGACGCCGAGCGAAUCUCCCAAUCAGCCGAACCGACCGCUCGGGACGCUCCUGGAUUCCGUUUGCGUGUUCGAGAAAAGGUCCAGUGGCUGUCACUGUUACCAUCUUCUCUGAGCCUGAAAUCAAAUGUCAGUAUCUACCAAAGGAGGAGAAGAAUGUAAAAACUGGGAGUUUCCCUGGAGCUGGAAAUUAAGGAUGUGUAUUCCUGCCUUUUGCAUUCGUUAGUUGUACAGCCUCUGUGCCGUAUACAGAAUGGUGAGAAGAUUCACCUGCGAUACCUGAAUGUCAGAGGCGUUUCUUUCCACGGUCCGAAUGUUUGAACAUGUUAUUUUGUAUCACCUUUUGGUCAAUGAUAUUUGAAGAAGAUUCAUUGUUUGGCUUAUCUUUGUUUGCUGAGAUUUGUCACAAUU
rnacentral:lncRNA from 1 species